rnacentral:rRNA from 1 species
AAUGAACGCUGGCGGCGUGCCUAACACAUGCAAGUCGGAUGUGCCGCAAGGUGCAUGGCAGACGGGUGAGUAACGCGUAGGGAACCUACCUCUUUGUGGGGAAUAACGCUCCGAAAGGAGUGGUAAUACCGCAUGAGAUCAGCGACUGGGAUGUUGUUGAUGAAAGCUGGGGAUCGAAAGACCCAGCGCAAGGAGAGGGUCCUGCGUCUGAUUAGCUAGUUGGUGGGGUAACGGCCUACCAAGGCGACGAUCAGUAGCCGGCCUGAGAGGGUGAUCGGCCACACUGGAACUGAAACACGGUCCAGACUCCUACGGGAGGCAGCAGUGGGGAAUUUUGC